UACAGAGGUCUCAAGCGUUGUUCGGAUUCAUUGGGCGUAAAGGGUGUGUAGGUGGCGCGCUAAGUCGGGUGUGAAAUUUCGGAGCUUAACUCCGAAACUGCAUUCGAUACUGGCGUGCUUGAGGACUGGAGAGGAGACUGGAAUUCAUGGUGUAGCAGUGAAAUGCGUAGAGAUCAGGAGGAAUACCGAUGGCGAAGGCAGGUCCCUGGGCUGACACUGACGCUCAUGCACGAAAGCGUGGGGAGCAAACAGG
rnacentral:rRNA from 1 species